GUGGAAUGAGCCAGAGGGUCUGGGCAGCAUGACUGGGCGUCCAGCCACAGGAGAAUGGAAGAAAUUGGAGAGAUGGGGUGUCGCCAUGUUGGCCAGGCUGGUCUCCAACUCCUGACCUCAGCUGAUCUGCCUGCCUAAACCCAGAGGAUGUUUCAGCUGUCAGCCCUGUCAUCGGGGACCCCUCCUUCUACCAGGAAACCCUGUUCCUUGGCUCCAUGAUGCCCUGAAGAAAGAAUCUCUCAACUUAAGGUCCUGAUGACCUAGUACUAAUGGCCAGAAAUGGCUACAGGACAUGUCCUGCCUAAAUAUCAUCUCCUGCACCCCGUGGGGGUGAAGCCCACCGCAACCUGGCAUCCUGCUGUGUCGCCAUGUGCCCACCCACCCAACACACACCUGUGGCGACUGUCUCUCUUGGCCCAGUGAGCUGGCAGAGGCAGGAAGGGACUUGCUGACAGUCCCCUGGCUUACCAGAGGCAGGGGCAGGAUUCAAAGCCAGGUCAUCAGGCUCCAAGCCCCAGCACCCUCCCCAGCACUGAGGCGG
rnacentral:lncRNA from 1 species